ACGAACGCUGGCGGCGUGCCUAAUACAUGCAAGUCGAGCGGACAGAAGGGAGCUUGCUCCCGGAUGUUAGCGGCGGACGGGUGAGUAACACGUGGGUAACCUGCCUGUAAGACUGGGAUAACUCCGGGAAACCGGAGCUAAUACCGGAUAGUUCCUUGAACCGCAUGGUUCAAGGAUGAAAGACGGUUUCGGCUGUCACUUACAGAUGGACCCGCGGCGCAUUAGCUAGUUGGUGGGGUAAUGGCUCACCAAGGCGACGAUGCGUAGCCGACCUGAGAGGGUGAUCGGCCACACUGGGACUGAGACACGGCCCAGACUCCUACGGGAGGCAGCAGUAGGGAAUCUUCCGCAAUGGACGAAAGUCUGACGGAGCAACGCCGCGUGAGUGAUGAAGGUUUUCGGAUCGUAAAGCUCUGUUGUUAGGGAAGAACAAGUGCGAGAGUAACUGCUCGCACCUUGACGGUACCUAACCAGAAAGCCACGGCUAACUACGUGCCAGCAGCCGCGGUAAUACGUAGGUGGCAAGCGUUGUCCGGAAUUAUUGGGCGUAAAGGGCUCGCAGGCGGUUUCUUAAGUCUGAUGUGAAAGCCCCCGGCUCAACCGGGGAGGGUCAUUGGAAACUGGGAAACUUGAGUGCAGAAGAGGAGAGUGGAAUUCCACGUGUAGCGGUGAAAUGCGUAGAGAUGUGGAGGAACACCAGUGGCGAAGGCGACUCUCUGGUCUGUAACUGACGCUGAGGAGCGAAAGCGUGGGGAGCGAACAGGAUUAGAUACCCUGGUAGUCCACGCCGUAAACGAUGAGUGCUAAGUGUUAGGGGGUUUCCGCCCCUUAGUGCUGCAGCUAACGCAUUAAGCACUCCGCCUGGGGAGUACGGUCGCAAGACUGAAACUCAAAGGAAUUGACGGGGGCCCGCACAAGCGGUGGAGCAUGUGGUUUAAUUCGAAGCAACGCGAAGAACCUUACCAGGUCUUGACAUCCUCUGACAACCCUAGAGAUAGGGCUUUCCCUUCGGGGACAGAGUGACAGGUGGUGCAUGGUUGUCGUCAGCUCGUGUCGUGAGAUGUUGGGUUAAGUCCCGCAACGAGCGCAACCCUUGAUCUUAGUUGCCAGCAUUCAGUUGGGCACUCUAAGGUGACUGCCGGUGACAAACCGGAGGAAGGUGGGGAUGACGUCAAAUCAUCAUGCCCCUUAUGACCUGGGCUACACACGUGCUACAAUGGACAGAACAAAGGGCUGCAAGACCGCAAGGUUUAGCCAAUCCCAUAAAUCUGUUCUCAGUUCGGAUCGCAGUCUGCAACUCGACUGCGUGAAGCUGGAAUCGCUAGUAAUCGCGGAUCAGCAUGCCGCGGUGACUGCGUGAAGCUGGAAUCGCUAGUAAUCGCGGAUCAGCAUGCCGCGGUGCAACACCCGAAGUCGGUGAGGUAACCUUUAUGGAGCCAGCCGCCGAAGGUGGGGCAGAUGAUUGGGGUGAAGUCGUA
rnacentral:rRNA from 1 species